rnacentral:miRNA from 1 species
AAAACGUGAGGCGCUGCUAUA